GACGAACGCUGGCGGCGUGCUUAACACAUGCAAGUCGAACGGAAAGGCCCUGCUUUUGUGGGGUGCUCGAGUGGCGAACGGGUGAGUAACACGUGAGUAACCUGCCCUUGACUUUGGGAUAACUUCAGGAAACUGGGGCUAAUACCGGAUAGGAGCUCCUGCUGCAUGGUGGGGGUUGGAAAGUUUCGGCGGUUGGGGAUGGACUCGCGGCUUAUCAGCUUGUUGGUGGGGUAGUGGCUUACCAAGGCUUUGACGGGUAGCCGGCCUGAGAGGGUGACCGGCCACAUUGGGACUGAGAUACGGCCCAGAAUCCUACGGGAGGCAGCAGGGGGGAAUAUUGCACAAUGGGCGGAAGCCUGAUGCAGCAACGCCGCGUGCGGGAUGACGGCCUUCGGGGUGUAAACCGCUUUCGCCUGUGACGAAGCGUGAGUGACGGUAAUGGGUAAAGAAGCACCGGCUAACUACGUG
rnacentral:rRNA from 1 species